rnacentral:rRNA from 2 species
UACGUAGGUGGCAAGCGUUGUCCGGAUUUACUGGGUGUAAAGGGCGUGCAGCCGGGCCGGCAAGUCAGAUGUGAAAUCCACGGGCUUAACCCGUGAACUGCAUUUGAAACUGUUGGUCUUGAGUAUCGGAGAGGUAAUCGGAAUUCCUUGUGUAGCGGUGAAAUGCGUAGAUAUAAGGAAGAACACCAGUGGCGAAGGCGGAUUACUGGACGACAACUGACGGUGAGGCGCGAAAGCGUGGGGAGCAAACAGG